rnacentral:rRNA from 1 species
UACGUAGGGUGCGAGCGUUGUCCGGAAUUAUUGGGCGUAAAGAGCUCGUAGGCGGUCUGUCGCGUCGAUCGUGAAAACUUGGGGCUUAACCCUGAGCUUGCGGUCGAUACGGGCAUGACUGGAGUUCGGCAGGGGAGACUGGAAUUCCUGGUGUAGCGGUGAAAUGCGCAGAUAUCAGGAGGAACACCGGUGGCGAAGGCGCCACUCUGGGCCGAAACUGACGCUGAGGAGCGAAAGCAUGGGUAGCAAACAGG